UGGGGAAUCUUCCGCAAUGGGCGAAAGCCUGACGGAGCAACGCCGCGUGAGUGAUGACGGCCUUCGGGUUGUAAAGCUCUGUGAUCGGGGACGAACGGUCAGCAGACGAAUACUCUGCUGAAGUGACGGUACCCGAAUAGCAAGCCACGGCUAACUACGUGCCAGCAGCCGCGGUAAUACGUAGGUGGCAAGCGUUGUCCGGAAUUAUUGGGCGUAAAGGGAGCGCAGGCGGGAAGGUAAGUCUAUCUUAAAAGUGCGGGGCUCAACCCCGUGAGGGGAUGGAAACUAUCUUUCUUGAGUGCAGGAGAGGAAAGCGGAAUUCCUAGUGUAGCGGUGAAAUGCGUAGAUAUUAGGAGGAACACCAGUGGCGAAGGCGGCUUUCUGGACUGUAACUGACGCUGAGG
rnacentral:rRNA from 1 species